rnacentral:lncRNA from 1 species
UCUUGAUCAGUGAUUAAUAUUGUGGUCCGCAAUAUUUAAUGCGGCCGCAACAUUGCAGAUGCGGCCGGCAACGCAUCAACGCACCAGAAUUCUAUGGAAAAACUAACUGGAAUGUUAUGGAAAAACUACUAACCUGCUUGUGUUCACACUUCUAAUCGGUUGUGCUCUUCUUCUUCCCAAAAUUCUGUGUUGCGCUCUUCUUCCCUAAAA